CUCACUUCUCGUCACCACUGCCAUAGCCAAUUGGUUCUCUAAACACCAGUAUUAUGCUACUCUGUCACUGCCAAAAGAGGGGCGGCGGGGUGACCGUUUACUGCUUCUGUGGUUAGUGUGUCUCGGUAAUGGGUGGGUGCUUGGUGCUCCUAUAACUGAUGUGUUGGUUUAGCUUCGGAGAGAGUGUGGUGGUGAUGUGUCCGUAAGCAAUUGAAUGAGUGGGAUUGCUGGUCAGUGAUUGAAAGACUGCAUAAAUGAGUGUUAAAACAAGUUUGCAAGGGUGACCGAUAAAGGUGAGUGAUUGUGCAUCAGUAUCGUCGACCUCACCUGGCCCCCCCUCUCCAUGUGCCUUUUUUUUGUUUGUUUAUUUGAUUUAACCCUUGCCCCCAGGCUUCCUCGAGUCUGCUCGCCGUUAACGCCCAGCUCACCGCCGCCCUCGUCGCAUCCCCAGUGCUAGUUGUUACGUUUGUUCAGUGUUAACCACUGCUUGAACGCAUCUGCAAAAGCUCUGUGACUGGACCUGAGACACUGGCCAACAUUUUAUUCGCAAGACUCUCAUUUGGGCUCCGUGACACUGGAAACCCUUAUCAAGCAGUGCUUGACUGUGAUGCACUGUUACGCCGUAAACCAACAAAGCAUUCUUAUCAUAAACGUAUGCUUUUGUUUUCUAAAUUGACAAAAAUUCUUGAGCAUAAGCUUAGUUAUAGUCAUACCAAACAGUUACCAAAUUUGGUUUUUGUUUGUCAGAUGAAAAGACAUUCUAUUUUAGGAGUUAAUCUGAAAGCUACCUUGUGUUACCCGUUCAAAUGAGAGUGUGUUAUAAUGUUUGUGUUUGAAAUAGCUGAAUGUAUAAGUAGGUGGCACAGAUUUAGAUCGCCUACCUGGUUAAAUCACAUAGCCGGUAGAGGAAUGUCCUAGAAAACAAGCCGCUUCAGCUGGGGAAAAAAAAGACUGCUGAACCUGAGCUGCCGGAGGGAUACUUACAGGACCUUUCCUCCAGAGGGAGCAUGGUAGUGAAGUGGGGCUUUUUUCACUAGAAGGUGCUGUUGUUCUUGAUUUUCUCUGAUGAUGAUGAUCCUACUCCAGUACUUUUGAAAGUCAAAGUGCAUAAUUUUUUAUAAUUCAUGUAUGAAACGAGAAUAAUUUGCAGGAGAUAGGAUGUGAGCUGGUCGUAAUGUUUUUAUCACCUUCUAAUGAAUAUAUGCAUGCUUUGUUAAUGUGUGUAUAUUGCAAAAACCUUGC